UGAGUGGCGGACGGGUGAGUAACGCGUGGGCAACCUGGCCUGUACAGGGGGAUAACACUUAGAAAUAGGUGCUAAUACCGCAUAACGGGGGAAGCCGCAUGGCUUUUCCCUGAAAACUCCGGUGGUACAGGAUGGGCACGCGUCUGAUUAGCCAGUUGGCAGGGUAACGGCCUACCAAAGCGACGAUCAGUAGCCGGCCUGAGAGGGCGGACGGCCACACUGGGACUGAGACACGGCCCAGACUCCUACGGAAGGCAGCAG
rnacentral:rRNA from 1 species